rnacentral:lncRNA from 1 species
GGGGGAAAGCAAUACUGCAAAAUGACGUAAGGUACAUUUAGGGAGCCCUUUAAUGAAUAAAGACACAGAUACUUUCAUCAGCAGACACUGGACCUAUUUCUACCAAUAUCAUUUGCAUAUUGUUCACAGAGUUGAAACAUUCCAUCCAAAAUGGUACCUUCCUCCCACCACCUUUGCUUAACUUUUGCUUUCUAACAGCCUUAAUGAGGAGGAUUUUAAAAACACGGUUACGAAUGUCCUGGCUUUGGUCAAGUACUUAAGGAUUAAAUUAUAUUGACACUGUUAGUUGUAGACACUACAUUGGACUGGGACUCUCUGUCCAGUAGGAAAUUGAUGUUAGUAUUAUUUCUUUGCUAACCUCUGGAAAAUUACUGCAUUGUUGAAAAGAACUACUUCCAAAAGAAUUAUGAACUAUCAGCUAACAUGAGUACCUGGGACAAGGUGAGCAAGAUAGUAACUUUUUAAACUUUAAGCAUUAUUUUCAUAUUUCAUUACAA